GCUGUAGGGCUGCAACAACGAAUCGAUAAAAAUCGAUUACUGAAAGCGUUGGCAACGAAUUUGGUCAUCGAUUCGUUGAGUCGCGCGAUUAAUACGCCACUCGUUGGUUCAUUCAUGCACGCCCACAGCGAGCUUUAGUGUGAGCGACCACAGCUUGUAUUUUGUUCAUACCUUAACACUGGACUGUAAGCCUAUAUAAAAGUGUUGUACCUUCACUGUCUUAGGGUUAAAAAAACUCCUUCAACUCCGUAUCCCUAGUCUAGUCCAACCGAAAACUCUGUCAGCUGCUGCUGCUGCAGACGGUGUGCAGACGGGCUCGGAGUUCAAAGCAGCGGUAGCAAUCACACAACCGGACGGUGUAGAAAGUCCCGUCAGUUAAAAAUAAUAAUCCCGUUUUUAAAUUCAUGCUAAAAUCGGCAGGACAUAGAGCUAGUUAGCUUAAAAAAAAAGUCGCAAACAGUGUCAAAUAUGAUGUGUUCAGAUCGGCUCAAUAUUAUGAUUGAUGCGUUCAAAUGCAA